rnacentral:rRNA from 1 species
AACGAACGCUGGCGGCAGGCCUAACACAUGCAAGUCGAGCGAUGACUUCGGUUCUAGCGGCGGACGGGUUAGUAACGCGUAGGACUGUGCCCUUCUCUACGGAAUAGCCCUGGGAAACUGUGAGUACUACCGUAUACGCCCUUUCGGGGAACGUUUGAUCGUAGAGGGGACAGCCUGCGUUGUAGUAGGUAGUUGGAGAAGUAAUGGCCUACCAAGCCGACGAUCCAUAGCUGGGUUGAGAGGUUGAUCAGACACACUGGGACUGAGACACGGCACAGACACGGACGGGAGGAAGCAGGGGGGAAUGUUAAAGAAUGGAGGCAAGCCUGAUCUAGCCAGGCCGCGUGAAGGAGGAAGGCCUCAGGGUUGAAGAGCUCUCUCAGCGGGGAAGAUAAUGACGUUACCAGCAGAAGAAGCCCCGGCUAACUCCGUG